UACGUAGGGGGCGAGCGUUGUCCGGAGUUACUGGGCGUAAAGGGCGUGCAGGCGGUGCGGUAAGUUUAGCGUGACAGUCUCCGGCUUAACUGGAGAAGGCCGCUGAAAACUGCUGGACUUGAGGCCAGAGAGGGACAUAGAAUUCCGGGUGGAGUGGUGAAAUGCGUAGAUAUCCGGAGGAAUACCAAAGGCGAAGGCAGUGUCCUGGCUGGCAACUGACGCUGAGGCGCGAAAGCUAGGGGAGCGAACAGG
rnacentral:rRNA from 1 species